UGGGGAAUAUUGCACAAUGGGGGAAACCCUGAUGCAGCCAUGCCGCGUGUGUGAAGAAGGCCUUCGGGUUGUAAAGCACUUUCAGCGAGGAGGAAAGUUUGUUGGUUAAUACCCAGCAGAUGUGACGUUACUCGCAGAAGAAGCACCGGCUAACUCCGUGCCAGCAGCCGCGGUAAUACGGAGGGUGCGAGCGUUAAUCGGAAUUACUGGGCGUAAAGCGUACGCAGGCGGCCAUUUAAGUCAGAUGUGAAAGCCCCGGGCUCAACCUGGGAACUGCAUUUGAAACUUGAUGGCUAGAGUGCGACAGAGGGUGGUAGAAUUUCAGGUGUAGCGGUGAAAUGCGUAGAGAUCUGAAGGAAUACCAAUGGCGAAGGCAGCCACCUGGGUCGACACUGACGCUCAUGUACGAAAGCGUGGGUAGCAAACAGGAUUAGAUACCCUGGUAGUCCACGCCAGUAAACGAUGUCUACUAGCAGUUUGGAGCUUAAGCUCUGUCUUGCGCAGCUAACGCAUUAAGUAGACCGCCUGGGGAGUACGGCCGCAAGGUUA
rnacentral:rRNA from 1 species